rnacentral:lncRNA from 1 species
CUGGCUUAAAACCCUAGAGUUGGAUCUAAAGGGAUCUAAAAUAAAAUGUAAGCUGUUCAACAUCAAGAAGUUUCAAAACUAUAUUAAUUCUUCAUGAUGUAUCUCGAAGAUGGACAGACAGCAAAAGAUCGGCAUUUAUUUGGUGGCGAAUCCAAGAGGCAAAAUGCCUGUCUGGUUUAACACUGUAGUCUCUGCUAUCUGAGUGCCAGCUUUAAUCAACUCAGUGAUUAAAAGUUGCAAUGGAGGAGGACUUGGGGUGUGAUUGGACCUUUCUUGAAUUAUAGAAAUUUCUACAAGACAUUUGCACCUGAAAGCUUUUCCACGUAAUAUUUCAUUCAUGUGAUUGCAUCUAUGCAGUGUUGGUCCCCCCAUCAAAAACCUACACUAAC